GUACAGACGGGGUUCACCGCGGCUCACGGAGGACUGACGAGUCCCUGCGUGGCGUGACUGACGUCCUCCCAGGGUGGACACUGGUUCAGCCACGCUCCCGUCAUGCAGCUCGCUUACUCAGUCUGGUUUCAUCAGACCUCUCACACUUUACUGUGCUGCUCUAAGAGCUAAAGGCUCAACAGCCACCUUCGAGGCUUUCGGGACGGGAAACGAGCCAGGCUGCGCUCCAUCUCCGUGGGCGGGGCGGGUUCCCACCGGUCUGGCCAGUCCCUGUCUCCCGGGCCUGACCUCUCCUCACGCCCGCCCCCCUGCCCCUAGGGCCGCCCCCCAAGACUCUCAGUCCCGGCACAGUCACUGGCAGAUCUGCGACGGGCACCACCUGCUCCAGCGGCAGCAGCCGGCCCUCUACCGGGACGAGCCCCAGGCGCCCGGGAGGGCAGCCAGCCUCGGAGUGCCCCUCCUGCCCCUCAGCCUCAGCCUUCUGACCUUCCCACAGGCCAUCCUGCGUGUCUCGGUCACUCGGUGUUUUUGGCUUGGCUUUGUGAUCUGUACCUGCCAUGGAGAACAUCAGUAAACACGAGUCACAAUCAAGAUCUCUGGCGAAAGGCCUGGGGUGGGAGGAGCCUGCGAUGGGAGCUGUUUCCCAGAGAUUCAGCCCACCUUGCCUUGCAAGCGCAAGGUUCCAAGUUCGAUCCCCGGUACCAAAAAAAAAAAAAAAUCCACCCCUUUACAGUACAGGAGUAAGUGUUCUUAGGGUAUUUGCAAUGUGGAGCAACCAUCACCACUGUCUGUCCCCCGCACUUCCGUGGCCCCACAAGGAAGCCGCAUCCGGCUCCCAGAAGGCACCACCCUCUGUCUUUGUGACCUGCGCUGUGGACCCCAUGCGGUGUUCGCCCUCGGCAGCAGCACCCCUGGGCCGCAGUGGCUGUAUGGACUCGGAGUGUGUGGUCCUGUCUUGCUGACCUUCCCCCUGUUCGGGGGAGCGGGUCGGGCUGUGUGUGGGGUGAUGCGGUGGCCGUGGCCCCCUAGUCCAGGUUGGGUCUCAGACCGCUGGCCCUGGGCGUGCAGGCAUCCUCUGGAAGCUUGGCGCUGGGCUCCACAAGAGGGCGCUGUCUGAAAGUCUUCCGUGCGCUGGGAGUGACGCAGCCGUUCAGGAGGGUUUGGGGCGCGUGCUCCUGUCUUCCCAAACAUCUAGAGCUCAAGGAGUGCAGAAAAUUCUGACCUCCCUACCCACCCGACCACCCAACCACCCAGCCACCCAGCACCCACCCACCUCCUCCCACUGUCCUCACCAUUUAGCGGGCAGGGACCAAGUAGCCCAGCCCUGUCCACGAUUCCUCUGUGAUCAUGGAAAGCCACAUGUGGUCACUGAGGGAAACUGAGGCUCAGGGAGGUUAAGGAACUUGCCCAGGGUCAUGGGGCUCACAUACAGCUGAGGCAGCAUUCGAACCCAGGCCUUGUGGUGCAGGGCCCAGGCUUUACAUGCGCCACGGUCUCAGGUCAGGUCCGGGUGGGUGAGGGACAUUCAGCGGCCAGCAGGGAAGGAGAAGGCUCCUUGUCCCCCUGGACUGGCCCCUGUGGUGUCCGAGCUCCUCAGCGCUUCCAGGCUGGGGCUGAGAGCCUGUUAUUGUGCUUUUGGCAUGGUGGGCACCAGCCUGGCCAUUGCAUAGGCAGCACACAGGGCACCAGGUCACCGGCCCGUGCCCCUCCUCAGGCUGAGAGGGACAGAAGGGCACAUCCGGGUGGGGAUCACCUGGCCGCAUUCUUCGUGCUUCCCCAGUCUCUGCUUCUAUAGGCUGAUCUGAUGGAGGAGGCCUUGACCCAGCCUCUGAGCCACACCCCAGGAGACUGGCUUCUCCUGGCCCCACCCAGCUGCCACCCAGCUGCUUCCUUGGGCAGCGAAGGGCCACUCCACCUUCUCUCUCCAUCCCAGGGGCGGAGGAUGUCAUCUGCAGUCUCGGCCCUCUGGAUCAAAACACGAUGCUUGCCCUUCCCAGGAUGGGGAACAGCGCCUGCACUGCUGCGGUGCUGUGUCCCCACCACACCUGUGGUGUCGCAUUUAUGACACAAGUGUUUCCCUCUCGCACCCCUGAGAAAGGUCACUGGCUUUUAGCCCCCAGUGAGUGUCUUUCCAUGUCAGAAGCAGACACUCAGCAGCCCCAGUGCAACCCAGAGCAGAGAGCCCUUCCUGCUCGGGUUCCCUGGGCCUCCUGAGCCGAGGGCCUGGCCCAGAGAUGCCUGGGCCCUGCCGGGCUGUCCUGGCACCAGUGCAAUUGUAGGAGCAGGUUUAUGUGUCGCUUGCGUCAAGGGCUCCUUCCUUGCAGGGAGGCCCAGCCCUAACUGGAGAGUGGAAGUUGGGGUCCUGCUCUCUUCCUGGGAGGUGAUCUCUGGCCUGGCUCUUGGGCGCAGCAGCUCCCUAGGGGCCCACCCGCCCGUGUCACUCACCAAGGUCCAGCGCUGUGGCAGUGGGGAGCUGCACCGUGAAUGGCCAUGAUGUCACUUGGGACCUGCCCAGUUGGCCAAAUCCCACCUGGUUGUGCUGCCCUCCACUGCCCUUGGCCUCUGUUUGCUGAACCCCUCUCAGCACCCGCUUUGGAGAGGAGGUGCUUGUUCCUCAGCUGCAAUUGCUGCCGAGUGGAGUGGGGUGCUGUCUCUUCUCAGUGUCCACAGGAGGAAGAGACGGCAGGGGGAGCUUGAUGGCCAUGUGCAUUGUCAGUGUGGCUGGAGCAGGCAGGAAAGUCUGGAGGGGUCCUGGAAGGGAUGAGGGGACCCCUUAGGGCACCCUGCCUCUGCUCUGCCCAGCUGGGCUGGCAGCUCCGGGCCAGUGGGGUGGGGAGGCUUCUGCUGGUUGCAUUGUGGCUAUCCUAGCCUGGUCCUGCCAGCCUGGGAGCCCUUGUGCAUGAGUGAUGGGAGCGGGCGUGUCCAUGCUGUGCUCCAUAGGGGUAUCGGACGCUGUGGCUGUCUGGGAAGUGGGCUGUUUGAGGCUACUUAUCCAUAAAUUGCCACUGGGUCAGGACUCUUGGUCGUAAAGAACAGGAAAGCUAAUUCAUGUUGACUUAAGCUAGGAGGGAAUUUGUUAAUUUACAUAAUGGAAAAGUCUAGGGCCCUGAUGGCUUCAGGGGCAGCUUGAGCCAGGGAUGCAGACAGUGUUGGCAGGACCCAGCUUCUCCUCACAUCAUGCCUCUGCGGCCCUCUAUACCACUGGCAGGCAGGUAGUUUUGAAAAAUAGCUGUGAGGAUCUCUGGGUUUGCACCAAAGUAGUGCCAAUUCAGUAGAAAAAAGAGACACUCUUUCCCAUUGUUUCCCACCACUAAGAAGGGAUCUGGAGUUGGCUGAUUGGCCUUGUUGGGGCCACCAGCACUGUGGCUGAGGGGAGGUGCUGCUCUCAGGCACCUUGCAGCCCUGCUGCUGUGGGACAGUCGUCCCGAGCUUAGUGACUUAGAGGGUCCUCUGGUUUCUUUAGCUGGGGAGUCUGCAGUGUGGGCGGUGCCCAGCUGAGAAGUCCCCUCUGCCCCAUGUGGCAUCAGCUGAGCCAGCCCAGGCUGGGGCUGAUGAUUCCGUCAAGAUGGUGAAGUGGGAUAGCUGUCAGGCCAGGCCUGGCGCUGUGUCUGUGGCCUUCCCUGCAGGCUGGGUGUCCCUGGGCACGGCCGUGAGUGUCCCAGGAGACCGGCAGUGGCAGGCUGACCUGCAUCUCUUCUGCUGUGGUCUACGGGCCAAGCCACUCCAGAACCCAGGCACCAGGGAAGGGGAUGCAGGCCCUCUCUAGAUAGCGGACCAGAUUGGGCUCUCCGUGAGGCAGAGGUGGCCCUCCGUCCUCAGGGUGAGGCCCGAGAAUGGCGGUGGGGUCUCCUCUUGGCAGAGGCCAAUUUCAGACUCAGGAGAAAAAGCCUCGGGAGGCAGAGGUGCUGCACAGUCUCCAGCUCCACUCUUACGGCCUCGUGAGCGUCCUGGUGCCCAGCACCUGGGGUUGACUCUGAGAGGUGAGGACACUGCAGGACCUCACAGAGAAGCCCAGGGGCUCCCCCCUGGGCAGCACCCUGUUCUGGGGACUUGGAUGUCCAGGCUUCACGCACCUUGACCCGCCCGGCCUGGACCUGCCACAGGAGGAGCCGUGGACGUGGCCCUGCGUGGAUGUGGCUCAGACUCCUCCAGCAUGGUCUCCACGCGCCUGUGUGUGCAGCCCCGCACCCCUGAAGGGACAGAUGGGGCACAGGACUGCAGCCUCUCAGAAGUGUGGGGAGUGCAUUGGUCAGGGCAUGGGGGAGGUUGUGGGCAGGCCUCCUGGUGGCCGGGAUGAGCAAAGAGCGGGGAGCAGCACCUGAGGGGUGGGGUGUGGGGCUACAGGAUCUUUUUGGGGCUAACAGUGGUUUGUUUGCUUAUUUAUUGAUUUGUUUCUGCAGUGCUGGGGAUGAGCCCAGAGCCUUACACUGAGCUACAUCACCAGCCCUUUCAUUUUUUUUUCUGAGACAGAGUCUUGCUGACUUGCCCAGGUGGGAUUCGAACUUGUGAUCCUCCUACCUUAGCCUCCCAGAGUGCUGGGAUCACAGCUGUGCUCCACAAGCCCAUCUGACUGUGUUUAAAAUGCCUGGCGAUUUGGAGCAGGAGGAGGUCCUGAGCUUUCCUCUGAAUUGAUUCUCAGGACUACCGAGCACCUCACAAGAGGACCCCCUCUCUCCGGGGAGAGCCCCGCCCCUGUGCUUUGCUUGGGGACCCUCAGGUCCCUUCCUGUUGGAAGUGGUUCCCAUAUUUGACAGGCUUCUGGACAGAGGCAUGGCUGGAGCUCUUGGGUGUGGGGUGACCUGCUUUCCUUCUGGGGAUUGGCUGGCUCAUUUGUCCUGGGAACAGCAGGGCCACCCGCCCCAGGCCCGCCUGUGGUGCUGGCCGAGCAGCUGUGUGCUCUCACCAGUGCCAGACAUGGGAUCAGAGAGGUCACUGGUAGCUGCACAGUGGAAGGCAGCAAAACGCUUCCCAGCCAAGGGACAGAGCAGUCUGCAUGUGGAGCCAGCAGGCGAGUGGAGGGUCACUCAGCAGCUCUGGGCCUGCUGGGCCCUUGGGGUCACCCACACAGUUCCAGAUGUGCUGCUGACUUCUGGCUGCAGCAGGUGGACAGUGUCCAGGGUCUGAGAAACACAUGCUAGAGGACUCCAUUGCACCAGCAGCUUCCUGUAAGCGACAGGUGUUUCCUUCCCCGCAGAACUCAGCCACUGUCCCUUCCCUCAGAGGCCCUUCCUUCAGCCUUCAGAGGUUAGGACUGGAUGUCUUCCGGAGGUUGUUACCCUGCAGCCCACACUCCCUGAGGAGCCUGCCAAAGAGCCUGAUGGCACAGUCACCUACGUGACCCUUCUGGAAGGUCCUGAAGCUGUGAGGCAGUGCCGAGCCCGGGGCUGCCCCUUGUCAGGAGGCCAGGACAGUCAGACACUGGGCCUCUGUUACCGCAGAGGACAGGCCAUGAAGGCCAGACCUCGGAGGACCCGGCUGCUGACGCUUGGUGACCACAGCUGUCUCUGCCACAUGCACCUUGCCGCCUGAACUCGAUGCAGUCCAGACGGGAGCUGUUUCCCUGUGCCUGCUUUCAAGUCAGGAGAGUGAGCGGGGUGUGGGGGUGCACCCCUGUGGUGCCAGCACCCUGGGGGGCUGAGGCAGGAAGGAUCACAAGUUCUAGCCUGGCCUGACCAGUUUAGAGACUUAGUGAGACCCUGUCUCAGAAAAUAAAAAUGGAGCUCAUUGUGAAGGCCCUGGGUUCAAUGUCCAGGACCACAGGGAAAAAAGAGGGGGAGAGGGGAGGGAGGAGGAGAGAAAAGCUCCCCGAGAGCUCCAGCGCUUGUUUCCUGCCACGUAGCUCCUCAGAACCAGAGCUGGGGGCCCAGCCCACGUCUGAAUGGGAGGCUGGCUGUACCCGCAGGCAGCACUACCUCACACCUGUCGUACCUGGGCAGCCCUGGAGGGAGGCUUUGCCCAGAGAGGUUUAGCCACUUCUCUGGUCCCAGAUGCCUCAUGUGGCCUCCGAGGCCCCAAUCCCAAGAAGUCCUGUCAGGAGCUUUGCUGCCCGUGAUGGCUCAGGUCCCACACUGCAUCUGGUAGCUCCAUCCUGAUGGUGGUUCAUGGGCUCCCAGGCCCUCCCCUCUGGGUCUGCCAGACUCGGCUGUGCUCGGUGGGCUCUGUCUGCUGAGACCCCGUCUCCACCCCUGGACAAACUCACCCAGUGGGCCUUGUGUGCCCCUGCUUGGCAUGGUGAGGGAGGGAGUGACUUCCGGAGCCCGGCUCUCCCCAUGCGCGGCUGGGGUCCCAGCGGCUCCUGUGCCCUCGGGGCUCAGUCUGUGUCCUGAGGGACAGGGGUGUGUGUGGGGGCCUGUGUGGCCUGCACCUGACCCGCCUGCUGCCCCAGCCCUGCCCUGUGCCCACUGCAGGCCCUGUCUGCUUCCCAGGACUCUUGGCUGACCCGCAUUGCCCCAAGGUGGCCUCAGUGCCAGGGCUGGGGCAGGGAGUGCCCAGGAUGGCUCUGUGAUCAGCUGGUGAUGUCUGCCGCAGGCCCGGGCUGGGCUUGUGUGCGAGCCUUGUGGGUCUUCAUCGCUCCCCAGUGACUCCCCGGUGUUUGGCACAGGGUGGCGUGGGUAUCCACUGUUUCCUCUGAGGGGUGUCACGCUGGGGGGUUGGAGAGCCCACCAGAGGGACGGGAAACUUCCUGUCCUCUCUCUUGCUGUUUCCAAGGGAGACCGCCCACUGAGGGCACCGUUUUCAUGUUAACACAACAGACCAGGCCGAACCGGAGCAGGGAAGGUGCUGGCACCCGGAGGAGGCCAAGCCUGGCAUUCCACCUCGGGGAGCAUUCUGUUGCCUCAGCACCUGCCAAGCAAGUGUGUCCUUUCCAGACAUCCCACACUCGGGGAGAUCCCAGCAUGCCAGCCCCACCAACCCUGCCCACUGCUCCCCCAGGUUCCACUUUACUCAUCCAACAGAUUUGUGAAUCCGACCUUUUUAAAAAGGGAAAGAUUUAAAAACUGUGUGCACAGCGCGUCCGCUCUCUUCUGUGUGCCCUGCUCCUGUACGUGCAUAGUUGCCUGGGGGCUUGGGCCACAGCCUGGGGCACAGUGUCCUUCGGAGCUGCUUUCUGGGCAGGGCGCUGUGCCUGGGUAUCAGGCCAGGGCUCCUGGUGCUGCCACAUCGGCAUUUCAAAUGCUGAGACUGGCUGGUGGCCCUGGAGGGUCAGCCCCACCCAAAGGCUCAAAGCGUCCACUGUGCCUUGGUCCAUUAUCUCACAGGCUGUGAAAUAGGCUGACAGAGAUUUUGAAUUAUGAACGUCCAUACAGGGACUUCAUUUACUUCUUUUUUCUUUUGGUACUGGGGACCGAACUCGGGACCUUGCACUUACAAGGGAGGCAGCGGAACCACUGAGCUAAAUCCCUGGUCCGUUUUUUUUUUUUUUUUUUUUGGUACCUCGUUUACUUCUCAUAGCAACCCUGAGGUUAUUGUCUUGCAGCUUUUCAGAGUAGGUCUGCCAUGGCUUCGCAGCACCACAUGGUCCUGCAUGGGGUUCCAAGGCCACAGGGGCCAAUGGGGCUGCGGUAGCAGGGAUCUGUUCUGAGACCCUGAUUCUCUGUGAACAGUUUUUUUUUUUUGGUACUGGGGAUCGAACUCGGGACCUUGCACUUUUGAGGCAGGGGCCAAAACCACUGAGCUAAAUCCCCGGCACCGUGAACAGUUUUUUUUUAAUGUCAAUUGUAUUUUCUCCUGUAUUUUUGUGGACUCCUAUCAGUCUUAGGUUAUUCUUCUUUGCAUCACCUAGCAGCUGCUGGACUGAUUUCUCAUGGUCCCUUACUAUCUUUAAGAAAUCUCUGUUUUCAUGGUCCUUAACCGCAAUCCUGUCUUCUAUAUCUGAUAUUCUAUCUUCAGAUUCCCUUAAUCUGCUAUGCAUGCUUUCAAUGGAGUUUUUAAUCUCCUGAAUAUCUGUUUGAAUCUAUUUCAUGGAUUCCAUUUCUUUCUUAUGUUGGGCGAUCAUGGUUUAUAUUUCUUUCUUAUGCUGGGCAUUCAUGGCUUUCAGCAUAUUUUUGAGCUCAUCUAUUUUUUUAUCUGUUUCUGUUUUAGAGCCUCUAAUUAUGUCUUUCACUCUGCUCACCAUGUCUGUAGUUAUCUGGGAGAUUAUGUCUGCUUUGAAUUUUUCUAGAGUCUCAUUCAUCUGUUUUGUUACUUCCUGUGCUAUCAGUUCAGCCUGUCCAGGUGGUUGAUUAUCGGACUUUUCCACCCCAUUUCCCCAAAAAUUGCCUUUUGUAGGGUGGAAGCCUGGGUUUGUGACUUGCUUAAAUGUCUUUUUCAUUUUUGUUUCUGGUACUGUCACUUAUAAGCCAAUGAGUCCCAGUAAGCCAGUCACAGACCCCUGAGAUUCAGACAGACUUCUGGCUGCAAGUCCCAAAUUGAGCUCCCCGCCCUCCCACAGGGCUGAACUCUGCAAGGCUCUACUACAGGUUCCAGCUGCCCUUCCCCUGAAGAUAGUCCAGGAUCAAGUGGGAGGUGAUGAUCCCUCCAACUUACCAAGCACGGUGGUCUGGUGUGCCUUUAUUGCAGAGAUUCUUUUCACUUUUCCAGUGGGAUUCAGUUUUCAUCAGGGAGCCUGAGAGAGGCCUCUCUCUGCUGUUCACCUCUGCAACUCAGGACAAUGGCCUUUAUGUCCCCCUGUGCCUCUGUAAUGUGGAACUGGGUAGCUGCACAGCCAAGAGGCCAGAGGCAGCGGUGGUGGUGGGGCUGGCUGUUGUUACAGGUGCCUGUGGGGCCAAGCCAGUGGCCGGUGGGCCUGCGGGGUGGGGUGGGGGUGUCCUCACCGUUUCCUGGAUGCAAGUGGGCUGACGCUGAUUCUCUUUAAUGCUGCACCGGCAUCUCUCCUGCUGGAAGUUUUUGGGAACAAGUCUUUACCUACCUGUUCUUGUUGGAUCACGGGUCAUGGCAGCCUCUGGAUGUGUGUCUCCUACUGGGGCAGUCCCCACUGUCUGCAUGUGUAAAGGAAGGUGCACACAUGCAGGGUGCCAGGUGUGGGAGUGAGUCAGCCACCCAAGCGCUGGCUCAUCUGCCUCCCGGCCCUGGUGCAGGGCUCUGCCCCUCUCUGGCUUUGUCAGCCUGAGGUACAGAGGCUGGUGUCAUCUGAGCCUGCACUGACUGGGGUGUGAGCAGCUCUCCACUCACUCCUGCUGUGAUGUCCCCGGCCCCAGACUCUGCUCCUUCCUCCCCUGUCCCCUGCCUGGAGUAGGAGGAGGCCCUGGGAGUCCAGCGUGCUCUGAGGGCCUUUCUGUCCUGGGCCGGGAGGUGGCACUGAGGUCCUCACCGUGGCACGGGUGAAGUGUGGGAAGCCAACAAGUGUGAAGCACAUCACACUUGAACAGUGGUCCUGCAAAUCAUUGGCUUCUGUGAGCUGGGAGGGCCAUGGCCAACCCUCCUGGGCCCCCGAUUUUAUCAGUCAACAGAACUGGGGCUUGAGAGAUGCAGAUGCACAUCUGUGGGCACUGCUGUCCUCCCCAGAGGGCCUGGCUCUGCAGACCCCUGAGAGAUGGUGUGUGGGGUUAUGGUUUAUAUCUGUGGAAGGCCAUUGGAUUAGGGGCUUAUAGCAGAUUGCUCUUAGGAGGCGGCUCCUGAUGGGAAGGGGCGGGUCACUGUGGGUGUGACCGGAAGUUCACAUCUCCCUUCCCGUUUCUUCCCUGACGCGCUACUUCCUGUUCACCAUGCCUCGAGCCGCUCUCCUCCCCGAGGCUCCUCUGCCCUGCCGUUCUGCCUCAGAGCCUGCCGACCACCAACCGACAGACGAGCAGUAUAAACCUCUCCUCCGGUUGAGUCGGUGUCGAGCACGGUGUCCCAGCGAGGAGAAGGCAGAGCCGCUGUGCGUCAGGACGCUGGUGCCCCCAACAGAACCACAGUGCGGUGCCCAGGAGGGUCUUGCUGUGUAGCCCAGGCUGGCCCCGAACUCACAAUGAUCCUCCUGCCAGGGCCUCCAAGGUGCUGGGACUACAGCCACGAACCACCGUGCCUGCCCACAGAUGGCAGGAGAGUCCACAUUCCAGCUUCCUCCUGGGAGCCUCGACCCCUCUGGCAGGGAACCACCGG
rnacentral:lncRNA from 1 species